rnacentral:tRNA from 1 species
GUGCUGGUAGCUCAGCUUGGUAGAGCGCCUGCCUGUGGCGCAGGAAGUCGCGGGUUCAAAUCCCGUCCAGCACCCA